AAAGAGUGACUCCUGAACCCACAUGUUACAGCAUGUAAGUGUGAUGUUAAUCGUUUGCCUACGUAGAUCCUUUCCCAAAUAAGCGAAAACUUAGUUUUUAGUGCGGAAGUCGUCAGUCGCUCGAACAGGAGGGAGAUACCAGUACGCAGUUGUGAACUGCGGAUUUUGUCGCAUAUUGAAGAAAAGUGGAAGAGCUAAUCAGCAUUUAUCGGCAGUGAUUUGAUAACAGGAUAUUAAUCACGAACUAUGGGAAAAAGAUUUGACGUAUUAACUGUGUGGCUUAUGCUCUGGAAAACCAAUCUGAAAGGGAGUUGUUUAUGGAUACUAAUCUGAAGAUGUCUUUGCUUACCACCAUUAGCGCUUUGGCGAUGAUUGUCGUGUUUGGUCUUAUCGCCGCCCUGAAUUAAUCC
rnacentral:sRNA from 1 species